UACGAAGGGGGCUAGCGUUGUUCGGAAUUACUGGGCGUAAAGCGCACGUAGGCGGAUAUUUAAGUCAGGGGUGAAAGUCCCAGAGCUCAACUCUGGAACUGCCUUUGAUACUGGGUAUCUUGAGUAUGGAAGAGGUAAGUGGAAUUGCGAGUGUAGAGGUGAAAUUCGUAGAUAUUCGCAGGAACACCAGUGGCGAAGGCGGCUUACUGGUCCAUAACUGACGCUGAGGUGCGAAAGCGUGGGGAGCAAACAGG
rnacentral:rRNA from 1 species